ACAGGUCCCACAGCUGUGUAGGAGACAAGAGUCUGUUACGCUCGCAAGGCAGGUCUUAAUUACUAACUGCAAAUUGUUGUUUGGUGUUAAAGUGCUGGGAGAAGAUAAAUGAAAGCAGAGAAAACAUUCGGUGGCUGCUGAAAAAGGCCUACUACACCCAGACACGAGGAGAUGUCUCAUUAAUUAUUUGCUUUCAUCCCCUUUGGGCUCAAAAGACAGCAGCAAUAACAUUACUUUUGUUUGCAGCUAUGUGUUCUUCUUUGACUGAGUGCCUCAAAGACAGCAGCGGAAAUAAGGACUGCUAAGAACACAGUGAUCCUUCCUACAUUACUGAGCCAUUCAGGAUUACAGCUGUUAAACGCAAGCACAAGCAGUCUGUAUUCCACAGUCUGUUAGGAAACAACCCUUCCUUCCGGAGCGACAAAAUCUACAUCAAGUCCCACUUUUUCUUCUUUGGAGAACCUUCUGCAAGAAACACGCUGCCCUACUGCAAUAAGCCAGUAAGAAACAACUACUUAAAAUUGUACGCCCGCUGUUUGGAUGGCUGUGAUAUUUUUUCAUUGAGAUUUGCAGCUCUUCCAGGGUAGGGUAUAUAUGUGGACUAUAAUUCAAUGGACUACCAUCACAACAAAGUUACAUUCUUUGCCUGAUCUGAACUAAGUUUAAUCAAAGAGAGACCAUGUCCACCUUUCUGCCCAGGCCUAUAGCUCUGCUUCUCUUUGCACCAGUUCAAACGUUCACUCAACCCUGUGCAUAGCUAAUCUAGCUCAUUAAUCCAAAAGAAAAUUAUUGACUUUUCUAAUAAAUAUAUUGCUGGAGAGAUAAAAAGCCCUAAGAGUUCAAGUGGAUGGAGAACCUUCUCUUUCAACAGCAAUGAGAAUAGAUUUGUUCAAGAUGGAACAUGCAACUCUAUCCACAGACUAAUCCAUACCUGUACAUGGCCCACUCUGCCAAACGUUGCUAUUACUAAAUGACAUCCUCAUUUUUUUACAGUCACAUCCCACCUUGUCACCGCUUCUUCAUUAAGAAAGCUUGUCUCUUGGUGUGAAUUUUUAUGGUAAAUAUUUCUGUCCUGUACUUCAGGGGAAAAAAGAAAAAAGGAUAACGUAUUAAUAUUACAUGAGGAUGAUUAACUGUUUUCCUACCCAUUGAUACCUACUGAGAAUGAAAAUGGCACUACUGUUUUUCAACAAUUGCCAUAGCAUUUAGGCAUCCAAAGGUCCAAAAAUAGUAGAGACAUUCAGCCUUCAAACACUAAUUUUUAAUAGCUUUCCAUACAGCUCUAAAUUUAAAGGGCCAAAGAAAACCUCAAGUUAUCUGAAGAAUCAAAAAACACUAAAUGAGCCAGAUGACAACAGAUCUGAGUACGGCAUCUUCAGUAAACACAAACAAAACAGUGGUGCUAUGUGUGAUUCAAUCAAGAAGGAGUUAAGGAAGAGGAAUAUUACAAAAGCAAGUCUACACAGCUUUAUGGAAACAAGCCUUGACAAGCAGGCCUGACUUCACUUUCUGAUGAGAUUACAAGUUUGUUUGAUCAAGGUAACCACAUAGAUGUGAUAUACUUGGACUUUCCUAAUAAAUUCAAUUUAGUACUGCU
ensembl:lncRNA